ensembl:snRNA U6 U6 spliceosomal RNA
GCUUGCUUCUGCAGUGCAUAGACUAAAACUGGAACGAUUCAGAGAUUAGCAUGGCUCCUGCAUGAGAAUGGCACUCAAAUUCGUGAAGUGUUCCAUAUUUAA